GCUCGGAGGUUGAGCGCUCAGCCUGCCGCCGGGACCUCUUACGGCUGUUCCAGCGCGUUUACACAUUGCAAACAAAACGAGCGCUUAAGCGAGAAAUGUCUUGAGUUUUCAGCAGGGCCUAUCGCAAGGGUGCCAGGAAGCCAGUGGCCGGACCUCACAGUCACACAGUGGUACGCUGGGACCUACGUGGUCAUCACCAAAAUGAGGUUUCAAACCCACUGUCAUAUUGGGGAGAGAACAGAGAGGAAAGGGAACCAAUAUUCAGAGGCCCAAUGCCAGGACCUGUGCUAGACCCUUGAAAGACAUUAGCUUAUUUCAUCCUCAGCAUGGACUGUAGGGUAGAGCUUAUAAUUCUCCUUUGACAAGGAAGGAAACAUGGACACAGCUUCCUGAGCUGCAGAGCUGGGAUUUGAACUCUUGCUGGCCGCGCACAUCUAUUCUCCCAGCUCUGUGGGUUUGGCCAGAAGGACCUUGAAAUUUGUGGGCCUGGCCUCAAUCCCCAGCAUCCCGGUUGCCCGCCUUUGGAGAAUGGACAGCUCCUGGU